GACGAACGCUGGCGGCGUACUUAACACAUACAAGUCGAAUGAUGAAGCCGGAGCUUGCUCCGGUGGAUUAGUGGCGAACGGGUGAGUAACACGUGAGCAAUCUGCCCUUGACUCUGGGAUAACUGCGGGAAACUGUAGCUAAUACCGGAUACGACACCUUGGGGCAUCCCAGGGUGUGGAAAGAAUUUCGGUCAAGGAUGAGCUCGCGGCCUAUCAGCUAGUUGGUGAGGUAAUGGCUCACCAAGGCGACGACGGGUAGCCGGCCUGAGAGGGUGACCGGCCACACUGGAACUGAGACACGGUCCAGACUCCUACGGGAGGCAGCAGUGGGGAAUAUUGCACAAUGGGCGAAAGCCUGAUGCAGCAACGCCGCGUGAGGGAUGAAGGCCUUCGGGUUGUAAACCUCUUUUAGCAGGGAAGAAGCGAAAGUGACGGUACCUGCAGAAAAAGCACCGGCUAACUACGUGCCAGCCGCCGCAGUAA
rnacentral:rRNA from 1 species